rnacentral:rRNA from 1 species
UGAACGCUGGCGGCAGGCCUAAGACAUGCAAGUCGAACGGUAACGACACUAGCUUGCUAGUGGGCGACGAGUGGCGGACGGGUGAGUAACGCGUAGGAAUCUACCUAGUAGUGGGGGAUAGCCAAGGGAAACUUUGGGUAAUACCGCAUACGAUCUACGGAUGAAAGGGGGCCCCUCUUUGAAGCUCUCGCUAUUAGAUGAGCCUGCGUAAGAUUAGCUUGUUGGUGAGGUAAUGGCUCACCAAGGCGACGAUCUUUAGCUGGUCUGAGAGGAUGAUCAGUCACACUGGAACUGAGACACGGUCCAGACUCCUACGGGAGGCAGCAGUCGGGAAUAUUGGACAAUGGGGGAAACCCUGAUCCAGCCAUGCCGCGUGUGUGAAGAAGGCCCUAGGGUUGUAAAGCACUUUUAGUAGUGAGGAAGGCUCAGUAGUUAAUACCUGCUGAGAUUGACGUUAGCUACAGAAAAAGCACCGGCUAAUUUCGUGCCAGCAG